UGCAGGCAAGCGCGGAGCUUGUAGAGGUCGUCGAAAGACGGCAGCCCGUUUUGGGUGGGAUCCUCGAAUCCGGGGCCCUGCACCGUC
ncrna:unclassified sequences DTF3800-VII RNA